CCUACGGGAGGCAGCAGUGAGGAAUAUUGGUCAAUGGGCGCGAGCCUGAACCAGCCAAGUCGCGUGAGGGAAGACGGUCCUAUGGAUUGUAAACCUCUUUUGUCGGGGAACAAAGGCGGGGACUAGUCCCCGGAUGAGGGUACCUGAAGAAACAGGAUCGGCUAACUCCGUGCCAGCAGCCGCGGUAAUCCGGAGGAUGCGAGCGUUAUCCGGAUUUAUUGGGUUUAAAGGGUGCGCAGGCGGCCUGUUCAGUCAGCGGUAAAAGCCCGGGGGCCAACCCAGGCGAGACGUUGAAACUGGCGGGCUGGAGUUGGAGUGAAGUACGCGGAAUGCGCGGUGUAGCGGUGAAAUGCUUAGAUAUCGCGCAGAACCCCGAUUGCGAAGGCAGCGUACCGGCUCCACACUGACGCUGAGGCACGAAAGCGUGGGUAUCGAACAGGAUUAGAUACCCUUGUAGUC
rnacentral:rRNA from 1 species